GAAUGAAGAACGCAGUGAAAUGCGAUAAGUAGUGUGAAUUGCAGAAUUCAGUGAAUCAUCGAAUCUUUGAACGCACAUUGCGCCCCUUGGUAUUCCAGGGGGCAUGCCUGUUCGAGCGUCAUUUGUACCCUCAAGCUCUGCUUGGUGUUGGGUGUUUGUCUCGCGGUUCUGCGUAGACUCGCCUUAAAACAAUUGGCAGCCGGCAUGUUAGCCUGGAGCGCAGCACAUAUUGCGCCUCUUGUUAGCGAUUGUUGGCACCCAUCAAGUCCAUUUAUUUGCUCUUGACCUCGGAUCAGGUAGGGAUACCCGCUGAACUUAAGCAUAUCAAUAAGCGGAGGA
rnacentral:misc_RNA from 1 species